rnacentral:piRNA from 1 species
UAUGCACCCAGCCUCUCCCCGAUCCGUCAGC